GAUGAUCUCAGAAAGGGGGAGAAAAUGACUAUGACAGCUCACCUCUCCUCUUCUUGGAUCUACAUCAAUGGGAGGACAUGCGUUACCAGGAAACAGCUUCAUUCUUUAUUGAAGACCUAUAACAUCUUUUAUAGGAACCAGAAAAAUCUGCAUAUCUUAUAUGGACAGACUGACGAUGGUAAACUAAUGGUUGAAGUAACGCUGGACAUUUUCUGGGGAGUAAAGCAGCCUAUACAACUGAAAACACAAGAUGAGAAGCAAAUCCCUUCUUUCAUUGUGCUGAAGUCACCAGAUGUCUUUUCCAAAAGGGGAACGACACGCUGGGGAGAAUUUCAUGAUCUUUACUGUAUUAGUGAUUUGGACAGGACUCAGAUUCCAGUGUCUGGAGCAACAGAUUCCCAGGAAGAUUAUUUAUCUUAUCACAGUAGCAGUCUGAAGCUUCAUGCAGAUGAAGAACCUGAAUCCCCAUUGCUCUAUAGAACCAAGAGUGAAGCAACCCUGGUGAGAAAAAGGAUGAAGCCUCCGAUGAUGGACAGAAAGGACAGACAGAAGCAUAGGGCCCCUAUGAACGGACACUUUUAUAACCAUGAAACAUCAAUUUUCACUCCAGCCAUUGGAUCAGAAACUAAGGUCAGAAUAAACAGUGAUAUGAGAACUGAAGAAGUAAUAAAGCAAAUUCUCCAAAAAUUUAAGAUUGAAAAUAGUGCCCGGGAUUUUGCACUUUACAUUAUUUUUGCAACAGGAGAGCAAAGACGGCUAAAGAAAACAGACAUUCCGCUACUGCAUAGACUUCUACAGGCACCAUCCAAAAAGAAUGCUCUCAUUCUCCUCAUGGAUAAAGAUGCAGAAGAAAUUAGCAGUGAUGUGGCUCAGCAUAUUAACUUUCAUUUUUCUCUCCUGGAAUCCAUCCUUCAAAGAUUAGAUGAAGAAGAGAAAAGAGAGAUUCAAAGAACAAUAACAAAAUUUAGUACAGAAAAGGCUAUCAUGCUGAAAUGUCUUCGAAGUAAACAGGAAAUAGAAAAUUUAUGA